rnacentral:lncRNA from 1 species
AAAGAAUCAAAACAAGAUAAAUACGGAAAAUGUAGUAGAAAGCAGAAAACAGGGCAAUACUAGUAAAUUCUACUCGUAACAAGAACCACAACCGAGGAUAUCUUGGUAUCCCGAGGAUCUCUUGGUAUCCUCAAAACUUAUAAUUUCGUGUGCCAGGGAUCUCUUGGUUUCCUGAGGAUCUCCUGGUAUCCUCAAAACUUACAAUUUCAUUUGCCAGGGAUCUCUUGGUAUCCCACACCCUCAUCUAGAACAUAUCAAGUGCAUGGAGAUCUCCCGGAAGGACAACCCGU